CCGCGAUUUCGGCGCCGCCGCCGCUGUAGAAGCGAGCUGGAAAAGAUCCAAGCGUAUUUUCUGGCGGCGUAUGGCGGCUGAGUACGACCUAAAGAUUACGGCGGCGGAGCGAAUCCUCGAGGUGUUCAUGGACCUCCGACUCCAAUCCAUUGGAUGAGUUCAUGAGCCUCCCCCGCUCGAUGUCGGCGAUUUGAUUGGGCGAUUCAGGCUUCCCUCUGAUAAGGUGCCAAAGAAAUUAGGAAUUGGUCUAUAAAAGGAGUCCUCAUUGCGAUUUUGUGGAAAUCUUUUUUAUUCUGAGAGAUAAUGCUAACUCACAGUUGAUGAAA